CCGAUCAAAGUUGUUGGUGGGGACUAACAUUGCAAUAUGGUUAUGCAAAUGUUAGGAGGAUGAGCCCAAGUUCCUUUGCUUCCUCCCAUGUCCAUCUUUAUCUAGUCUUCAAGGAUACCACGCAACAGGUAUCUCAAAGUUCAUUUAUUUCCCUACGUUUGUUUACCUCUCAAUGCAUGAGCCGUAACUCCGCAAUAUCUGGCACUGUGUUUGGAAUCUAUGGCUGCCGAUGUGAUUUGUUUGCAAGGAUAUCGCAAAGAAAUGAUCCCCAAAACGCAUCUUGAACACAAAUGAUGAGUGGUAAGAUAACAUGAUCCCAACGCACAUGAAAAAGGUUUUUAUUUCUUGGUAAAGCAGGCAGAGUUUUGUGCUAAAAUGUUUGAUGGAAGUAAAAAACGAAAAGAUUUCAGGUGCAGAGAUACCUAGCUACAUUGACGACGGAGAACUAA